UACGGAGGAUGCGAGCGUUAUCCGGAUUUAUUGGGUUUAAAGGGUGCGUAGGCGGAUCGUUAAGUCAGUGGUCAAAUUGAGGGGCUCAACCCCUUCCCGCCAUUGAAACUGGCGAUCUUGAGUGGAAGAGAAGUAUGCGGAAUGCGUGGUGUAGCGGUGAAAUGCAUAGAUAUCACGCAGAACCCCGAUUGCGAAGGCGGCAUGCCGGCUUCCGACUGACGCUGAAGCACGAAAGCGUGGGGAUCGAACAGG
rnacentral:rRNA from 1 species